rnacentral:rRNA from 1 species
UUGAAAGGGAAACGAUUGAAGUCAGUCAUGCCGGCGGGAAUCAACUUAGGGGAAACUCUGAGUGCACUUCUUCGCUUGGCAGGUUAGCGUCGAUUUUGGAUGUCAUAAAAUGACUGGGGGAAGGUAGCUCUUUCGGGAGUGUUAAGCCCUUUGUAGAUGUGAUGUCUGGGAUCGAGGAUUGCAACGGAUACCCUUUGGGCUAGCCGCCUAGUCUCUAAUACGAAGUUGGGUUAUGGACAGCACGCUGACUGUGAUCUGAUUUUCGGUUAAAAGGUUAGAGCGUGCAUAAAUUCGUUAAGGAUGUUGACGUA